UACGGGAGGCAGCAGUGGGGAAUAUUGCACAAUGGGCGAAAGCCUGAUGUAGCUAUGCCGCGUGUAUGAAGAAGGCCUUAGGGUUGUAAAGUACUUUCAUCGGGGAGGAAAAAACAAAACUAAUAAUUUUAUUUCUUGACGUUACCCGAAAAAGAAGCACCGGCUAACUCCGUGCCAGCAGCCGCGGUAAUACGGAGGGUGCUAGCGUUAAUCAGAAUUACUGGGCGUAAAGAGCACGUAGGUGGUUUUUUUAAAGUCAGAUGUGAAAUCCCUGGGCUUUAACCUAGGAACUGCAUUUUGAAACUGAAAUACUAGAGUAUCGUAGAGGGAGGUAGAAUUCUAGGUGUAGCGGUGAAAUGCGUAGAUAUCUGGAGGAAUACCUGUGGCGAAAGCGGCCUCCUAAACGAAUACUGACACUGAGGGUGCGAAAGCGUGGGGAGCAAACAGGGAUUAGAUACCCGU
rnacentral:rRNA from 1 species